rnacentral:rRNA from 1 species
UGAGGAAUCUUGCGCAAUGGGGGAAACCCUGACGCAGCGACGCCGCGUGGAGGACGAAGGCCUUCGGGUCGUAAACUCCUGUCAAGUGGGACGAAUGCCGAGGGGUUGAAUAGGCUCUUCGGUUGACGGUACCGCUGAAGGAAGCCCCGGCUAACUCCGUGCCAGCAGCCGCGGUAAUACGGAGGGGGCUAGCGUUGUUCGGAAUUAUUGGGCGUAAAGGGCGCGUAGGCGGCCCGGCAAGUCAGACGUGAAAGCCCACGGCUCAACCGUGGAACUGCGUUUGAAACUGCCGGGCUUGAGUCCCGGAGAGGGUAGUGGAAUUCCCAGUGUAGCGGUGAAAUGCGUAGAUACUGGGAGGAACACCGGUGGCGAAGGCGGCUACCUGGACGGGUACUGACGCUGAGGCGCGAAAGCGUGGGGAGCAAACAGGAUUAGAUACCCAUGUAGUCCCUGAGCGGGCUGGCAAGGCGCAU